UGCAGCCCAGUGGUAGAGUGCUUGCCUAGCAUGCAGGAGGCCCUGGGUUCAAUUCCCUGCA
rnacentral:tRNA from 1 species